AAGUGACUAAGCGUACACGGUGGAUGCCUUGGCAGUCAGAGGCGAUGAAAGACGUAGUAACUUGCGAUAAGCCCAGAUUAGGUAGUAACAACCAUUUGAGUCUGGGAUUUCUGAAUGGGGAAACCCACGUGCAUAAGCACGUAUCCUUACCUGAAUACAUAGGGUAAGGAGGCGAACCGGGGGAACUGAAACAUCUAAGUACCCCGAGGAAAAGAAAUC
rnacentral:rRNA from 1 species